rnacentral:rRNA from 1 species
UNUGACUUGAGUGCAGAAGGGGAGAGUGGAAUUCCAUGUGUAGCGGUGAAAUGCGUAGAUAUAUGGAGGAACACCAGUGGCGAAAGCGGCUCUCUGGUCUGUCACUGACGCUGAGGCUCGAAAGCGUGGGUAGCGAACAGGAUUAGAUACCCUGGUAGUCCACGCCGUAAACGAUGAGCGCUAGGUGUUAGGCCCUUUCCGGGGCUUAGUGCCGGAGCUAACGCAAUAAGCACUCCGCCUGGGGAGUACGACCGCAAGGUUGAAACUCAAAGGAAUUGACGGGGGCCCGCACAAGCGGUGGAGCAUGUGGUUUAAUUCGAAGCAACGCGAAGAACCUUACCAGGUCUUGACAUCCCGAUGCUAUUCUUAGAGAUAGGAAGUUACUUCGGUACAUCGGAGACAGGUGGUGCAUGGUUGUCGUCAGCUCGUGUCGUGAGAUGUUGGGUUAAGUCCCGCAACGAGCGCAACCCUUAUUGUUAGUUGCCAUCAUUAAGUUGGGCACUCUAGCGAGACUGCCGGUAAUAAACCGGAGGAAGGUGGGGAUGACGUCAGAUCAUCAUGCCCCUUAUGACCUGGGCUACACACGUGCUACAAUGGUCGGUACAACGAGUUGCGAGCCGGUGACGGCAAGCUAAUCUCUGAAAGCCGAUCUCAGUUCGGAUUGGAGGCUGCAACUCGCCUCCAUGAAGUCGGAAUCGCUAGUAAUCGCGGAUCAGCACGCCGCGGUGAAUACGUUCCCGGGCCUUGUACACACCGCCCGUCACACCACGAGAGUUUGUAACACCCGAAGUCGGUGAGGUAACCUUUUAGGGGCCAGCCGCCUAAGGUGGGANGGAU